rnacentral:sRNA from 1 species
ACAGCCCUCUUCGGAGCCUGAGCCCGGCUCUCCUCACUCACCUCAACCCCCAAGCGGCCCCUCCACAGGGCCCCUCUCCUGCCUGGACGGCUCUGCUGGUCUCCCCGUCCCCUGGAGAAGAACAAGGCCAUGAGUCGGCCCCUGCUGCUGCCCCUACUGCCCCUGCUGCUGCCACCAGCAUUUCUGCAGCCUGGUGGCUCUGCAGGAUCUGGUCCAAGCUACCUUUAUGGGGUCACUCAACCAAAACACCUCUCAGCCUCCAUGGGUGGUUCUGUGGAAAUCCCCUUCUCCUUCUAUUACCCCUGGGAGUUAGCCACAGCUCCCGAUGUGAGAAUAUCCUGGAGACGGGGCCACUUCCAUGGGCAGUUCUUCUACCGCACAAGGCCGCCUUCCAUUCACAAGGAUUAUGCAAACCGGCUCUUUCUGAACUGGACAGAGGGUCAGAAGAGUGGCUUCCUCAGGAUCUCGAACCUGCGGAAGGAGGACCAGUCUGUGUAUUUCUGCCGAGUUGAGCUGGACACACGAUCAGGGAAGGAGCAGUGGCAGUCCAUCGAAGGGACCAAACUCUCCAUCACCCAGGGUGAGUCCAGCUGCCCUGGCACCCACUUUGCCCACCGCAGUGAGGCUUUUAUGAUCUCUGGUGACGUCGUCCCCAGCACCUCAGACCCCACUUCUUCUGAUGACCCCUAAGUUCUCUCUUUGGCCCCUAACACUUCCUCAGGCCUUUGCCACCUCUCCCCUUUUCUCUCCCCCUUGUCUCCACAUCUGAUCUGCUUUCCCCGACCAUCCCCCUCACUGUCCCCUCCAGAUCCAGCCCCGCCCCCACUCCUCAGGCCUCAGCAUCUGCCGGACCCUCUAAUUAUCCUUCAUUUUUUCUCCAAAAUGAGGC